rnacentral:piRNA from 1 species
UCUGCAUCCAAAACAGAAAUAGAGCAUGCCU